rnacentral:lncRNA from 1 species
GGAGGAGAAGUGCGCGCGAGAUUACCGAUAUUUCUUGCGAGACUGGACGAGAUUUCACGUGUUCCCCGGGAGUCAUAGAAUGAGAUCCGUCGAUUGGUGUAUAUAAACGGCGAUGCAUAUAAACACCCACAUCCCACAACCCCGACCUUUUCUAUUAUCAAGCUAAGAACAGAUCAAUGUAUUGACUUUAUUUUAUUUUGAAAAUUAGCCGGAUAUUUUACUCUGUAACCGCAUACAACUUCUGUUUCUGCUUGUGCUGCGCUGCACUGAAUUGAUGCGCCAUGCUCCGGACGGAUUCUGUGGAAUGACACACAUUGAUUAUAAUGCUUGCGUAUUUGAUCCGCCUGCUGUGCCUGAGUGGAGUGGAGCCGUUCCGGAUCCUGCGGGUUUUGCACAUAAGAAGUUUAGGGCUUGCUUUUUCAGAAAUAGACAGGUGAUCUUAACUGAGACUAUUCACCUGUUGUUAUUCUCUAUAGUAGGUGUCAGACCAGAUAAUUGGCAGCACACUAAAAAAACAAUCGACUAACUUAUUCAUAAGAUCAUAUUGUUGUUUUGUGAAGGUAAUAACAGACUCCAAGUAUCAGUACAACUGUAGUUAUAUUAGUCACCCAACCUGUGCUAACAUCCAGUAACACAGCUCAACAUAGCCUGAUAUGACUUAAUUAGCUUUGUGUGGCUCACUGACAACAGUGGGAGGAUCCAGCAGUGCCACAUAUCAGGAGUCUUGUCCAAAUCGGCCCGGCUAAUUCAUUUAAUAUAGUUGUUGAUGAAGUCAGCGGCACAUUUUCGGCUCUCUCAGGCUCUUAUAUUGCUCUUUACUUAGGUCUUACUCCUCUCUAGGCUCCAGUGAGCAAUCCUCACAGAUCGCUGAAGUGCAGGUGUGCCACAGAGACUCACAUCUCAUUAAAACGUGCAUUACCCCCUUCCUGUCUCCCCAUCUCCGCUGCUACCCAACCCUGCUGUAACCAUAUGGACCCCAUACUGACUCUCAUUAUACGGCAUGAAGUGAAUUCAUUUCCAGGAAGACAAGGAAGGCCCAGAAGUGUUUUUUUUUGUGUUCAGGGGGCCAUGUUUAUAAUCAGUUCUGGGAGUGGAAAAUAGUUGUAAUGCUGACUCAUUAAAUCAUUUCUGAUGAGCGGGAGAUACGACUUAUUAUAGAUGUGAGGCCGGGUCUUUUACCUGACAACCAGAGCUUCAGAAAGUUACACUUAUGAGGGCUGCUUGAACUGUUUAAUUCUUUCCAGCAGCAAUUAUGAAAAUCUGACAUGCACGCAUUGAGAGCAAAAUGCAUUUUUGUGUGAAUGAUGCAAUUUUUCUUCCAUUUUUCCUUUGAAUAUGAGAAAUUUAAAGAGACGAAAAAACUCCACCAUCUAAUCAAUCCGAAUGCACAUUAACAUACCAUUAAUUAUUCGAGCUCUGUGUCAGGAUCGUCUGCGCCGUCUGUUGCCAGUAGCAACCAAAGCUGGUAAAGUUCAGUAGCAGUUGAACUGACGUGCUGCAUUAUUGUUGCAUUUGUUAAACUGAUGAUCAAGCACAUACUCUGCUUUGAGAAUACCCUUGUUGGCUCGUUGCC